CUACUCUUUCUCUCUCAAGAAUCAUUCACGACUUCAAGACCCUUUUGCCAAAUUUGAACGAAUUUUUGCACGAAUUGAAGGCAUUUCUGCAUGUAUUGAAGGUCAAGCUCACACUGAUUUGCCGAUUUGAAGCAUUUGAAGGUGUCUAUUUACUGAAAUUGGUGUAGUGCAGCUGUAGAUUGGUGGCAAAAUAAGUGGAGUAUUGUAUUCAAUCAGGUAACUUCUUAGCGACAAUGAAUAACAACGUUCCUAAUGCUAUCUUGGCUGGGAAUGAAACUCAAUUGAGCCGAAUGAGAUUGAAGUCAAAUCUCAAGAUGGAGAGAAAGCCGAGGUUCAAAAUGAAGUUGUUAUGUUCUCGAUUUCUUCUUAUUUUGUGGGCUGUUUUGGAACCAUUUUCAUUUGGAUUGUGCCGUAAAUUUAAAGUCAAAUUCCUCUCAAGAUGGAGAGGAUGAUACGGGUACAAUCAUGAAGAUUGACGUUUUUAGUGUGUUAAAUGCAACCUACGGAGUGUACGAGUUGGAGUGUGAAAAACGCUCAAAAGUAGUCCCUCUAUUUUACUCCAUG